rnacentral:rRNA from 1 species
UACGGAGGGUGCAAGCGUUAUCCGGAUUCACUGGGUUUAAAGGGUGUGUAGGCGGAUAUUUAAGUCAGUGGUGAAAUCUCCAGGCUCAACCUGGAAACUGCCAUUGAUACUAUUUAUCUUGAAUAUCGUUGAGGUAGGCGGAAUAUGUCAAUGUAGCGGUGAAAUGCUUAGAGAUGACAUAGAACACCAAUUGCGAAGGCAGCUUACUAAACGAGUUAUUGACGCUGAGGCACGAAAGCGUGGGGAUCAAACAGG